UACGGAGGGGGCGAGCGUUAUUCGGAAUUAUUGGGCGUAAAGGGCGCGUAGGCGGCUUGGCAAGUCAAAGGUGAAAUCCCUCGGCUCAACUGAGGAACUGCCUUUGAAACUGCCUGGCUUGAGGCCAGGAGGGGGUAGCGGAAUUCCCAGUGUAGCGGUGAAAUGCGUAGAUAUUGGGAGGAACACCAGUGGCGAAGGCGGCUACCUGGACCGGUUCUGACGCUGAUGCGCGAAAGCGUGGGUAGCAAACAGG
rnacentral:rRNA from 1 species